ensembl:lncRNA
CUUUAUUUAGAGGAUAUUAAGAGCCAACUGGGACGCCGCCAUAGCGAGUCGAGCCAUGAAACUGUAAACAGCGGCUUGAGACAAAUGCAUUCAAAGGGCACAGACAGAGAUUCUCUUCUCAUCAUCCAUCACUCGGAAUCCUUUCAACUCAUGAACUGAAUGGUGGCCAAUUGUUAAAAGCUGGAUUUUGCUCAACAUUGACAUACAGUAAGGUUAGACAGUUGACAAUGCAAAAUGAGUCCAGUGAUUCAGGAGGACAGUGAAUGUGCAGUAAUCCUAAAAUAACAGUUGCAGAGCAAAGCUUAUCUGCCAAAUUGACAACUCAUUGGUUGGCAGCUCAUUAAAAGUCACAUCCUUCUUGGAAACUGACAUCGGCUGAGGACUUGUGCUGACUUGACAGCUUUGGAGUAUCUUUGGGACUUAGUCGAGGAACACUGUUACUGGAUGUUAUCUCUUAUGUUUUUGCAUAAAAAUCUGACUCUUUUUGCAUCUUUUGAGGUGGUACAGUAAUUAUGUUGAUGACUUGCAUAUACUUAGUUUACAUAGAGAUUUCUCUGUUUAGUUUGGUUGAUUUGAUGUUAAUAAUCGCUUCAUAUGGGCAUCUUCACCAUGAUGAGAAGCUAUACGACUCUCAAUUCAUCCUCUAGAAAUGCAUGACUCUUUUCAGACUCUUCUCCUCACGGAUUCUCUUGUCCUAUGUGGGUAUUCGGACUCAAGGAAGAACACUCUAGUCUUCAGUGAGACUGAAGCCUUUGAUGGCUUUGUGUUGGGUAUGGUGUUGAAUAUGGAUUGUUUAUGUUCACAGUACACUUGAGGAUAAUAGUGUCUGGCCUGCAGUAUAACACCUAUAAUCAGAGCGAUGCAGACGGAUACAAGCGUCCUCCAUAGUACAGGGCAAUUUACAAUUUGUCAUUUAGCGGACACUUUUUACCAGAAGCAAUCUGCGAUAGACGAAUUACUUUGAAUUCCCUAUGGAAAAACUCAGUGCAAGAGUUUCAGUUGCCAUUAUGCUGUGUCUUAACCAGACAUGAUGCGAUAGGAUUAAAGUAGCAAGUGAAUUGUCUGUCCUUACUUGACGCUAAAAAUGCUGCGUGAUGAGACACAAACAAAGCCAAUCAGAACAUAUUUGAUGUUUGGUAUACAGCUGUGUGCAGUGGGAUUUUGGGCAGUUGAGAUUUCAUUGUGAGCAAAGAGUAGGCCACAAGAAUAAAAAUCAAGCAAUGAGUAAAGUUUUGUAAAUGUGAAUUUGUUUUUGUUUAUUUUAAGCUA